rnacentral:rRNA from 1 species
GAUGAACGCUAGCUACAGGCUUAACACAUGCAAGUCGAGGGGCAGCAUGGUCUUAGCUUGCUAAGGCCGAUGGCGACCGGCGCACGGGUGAGUAACACGUAUCCAACCUGCCGUCUACUCUUGGACAGCCUUCUGAAAGGAAGAUUAAUACAAGAUGGCAUCAUGAGUCCGCAUGUUCACAUGAUUAAAGGUAUUCCGGUAGACGAUGGGGAUGCGUUCCAUUAGAUAGUAGGCGGGGUAACGGCCCACCUAGUCUUCGAUGGAUAGGGGUUCUGAGAGGAAGGUCCCCCACAUUGGAACUGAGACACGGUCCAAACUCNUACGGGAGGCAGCAGUGAGGAAUAUUGGUCAAUGGGCGAGAGCCUGAACCAGCCAAGUAGCGUGAAGGAUGACUGCCCUAUGGGUUGUAAACUUCUUUUAUAAAGGAAUAAAGUCGGGUAUGGAUACCCGUUUGCAUGUACUUUAUGAAUAAGGAUCGGCUAACUCCGUGCCAGCAGCCGCGGUAAUACGGAGGAUCCGAGCGUUAUCCGGAUUUAUUGGGUUUAAAGGGAGCGUAGAUGGAUGUUUAAGUCAGUUGUGAAAGUUUGCGGCUCAACCGUAAAAUUGCAGUUGAUACUGGAUAUCUUGAGUGCAGUUGAGGCAGGCGGAAUUCGUGGUGUAGCGGUGAAAUGCUUAGAUAUCACGAAGAACUCCGAUUGCGAAGGCAGCCUGCUAAGCUGCAACUGAC